UCCUUAGUGGCUCAGAUGGUAAAGCAUCUGCCUGCAAUGCAGGAGACCUGGGUUUGACCCUUGGGUUGGGAA
rnacentral:tRNA from 1 species